UAACUGUUGAUAACAUGGUACUGACAUAGACAUCUCUGUAUUUCAGGCACCACCCGUGAUACUGUUCUCUUUUACCAGUGCACGACUCGCAGGAAGGUGUUUCCCCUCUGUGAUAUUAAACAUCACAUGUCAAUUGGUUUACUCAUGCACUAAGAAUCAUGAUUUUUAGCUGAUUCUUUGUCUAAUCGGGUCUUCUCUUCUAAUGGAGGCAGCAGUCUUGCUCGCAGCGCCGAUGAUAAUACUCUCUCUCUCUCUCUCUCUCCCUCCCUCCCUCCCUCCCUCCCUCUUGUUUCCUUUAGUAAUAAAAGUUAUCUUAUGUUUGUUAUGGUAGGACAAAAAUCCACUUAUCUUCAUAUGUUUUCAGGAAGUUGGUAAAGUUUUAAAGUAAGACUUUAA